UGUAUUGCACAUCCUUAGUCUAAGCUAAGUGUUUCAAAACAGUCCGUGGUCACAAUUCUUUUUCCGGAAUGUGUUCUUCUGUGACGUCCAGGAAGCUUACAGAAGAAAGAAAAACUAAAUACAGCAGUGUAAAAUAUAGGAGACAAAGGUUGUCCUAUCAUUAACAUUGCUGCCAGUAAGACUUAUACUCGGAGAACAUUUGUCAUUUCAUAUACAUUAUAUUGAAUAUACCCUGUUUUAUGAUCUAAGUUUACUAAUAAUUGUAGAGUUUUCAUUAGAUAUACUAAUGGGAAAUGUGCCGUGUUCAUAAAUAAAAUAAAUACUUGAAGAGAAA